UAUUAUUAUUUUAUUUUAUUUUAUUUAGUUGUAGAUGGACACAAUACCUGCAUUUUAUUUAUUUAUUAUUUUUAUGCAGUCCUAAGGAUCAAACCCAGGGCUUCACACGUGCUAGGCAAGCACUGUACCACUGAGCUACAACCCCAGGCCCACAUAGUCCCAAAUCUUUACUUCCCACUAGACUUCCUAUCCCAGUAGAUUGCUCAGGCCAACCUUGGAGUAACACCUCAUCCUUUUCAUUCUUCCCUCCCAUUUAUAAUCCACCAGCAAAUCUUGGGAGUCUACCUUUCAAAAUACAUCUUGAAUCUGCUAAUUUCUCUCCUCUACUCUAGGAUAUCACAUUUGACCUGCACUUGCACAGUGGCCUCUGCUAUCUGGCUUUCUGUCUUGUGAUUUUCUACAGAACAGACAGAAUAGCUCUUAUAAAACUAAAGCUGAUCUUGGUGCUUCUCUGUUCAAAAUCUUCCAACAGCUUCUCCCUAUCUUCUUCAUUUGGAUAUGACUGUGAAUCAUUCUCAUUACCCAUGUCCCUUCAGCUCUUGCUCAAAUGUCCCUUCACCAGAGAGGGCGCCUCUGGUAUCUUCUCAAAAAUGCUAAUUCCUGCAAGGCAGGCGGCACCCACCAUAAUGCCAACCACUGGGAGGCUGAGGCAGAAGGAUGGCAAGUUCCAGGUCAGCCUCAGCAAUUUAGGGAGUCCCUGUCUCAAAAAAGAAAAUAAAGGCCGGCUAUGCUGGCACACGCCUCUAAU
rnacentral:lncRNA from 1 species